GGCUAGGUAGCUCAGCCGGUCAGAGCGCGGCACUCAUAAUGCUGAGGUCGGCGGUUCGAUCCCGCCUCUAGCCACCA
rnacentral:tRNA from 8 species